rnacentral:rRNA from 1 species
AUUGAACGCUGGCGGCAGGCUUAACACAUGCAAGUCGAGCGGGGUGAUGGUGCUUGCACUAUCACUUAGCGGCGGACGGGUGAGUAAUGCUUAGGAAUCUGCCUAUUAGUGGGGGACAACAUCUCGAAAGGGAUGCUAAUACCGCAUACGUCCUACGGGAGAAAGCAGGGGAUCACUUGUGACCUUGCGCUAAUAGAUGAGCCUAAGUCGGAUUAGCUAGUUGGUGGGGUAAAGGCCUACCAAGGCGACGAUCUGUAGCGGGUCUGAGAGGAUGAGCCGCCACACUGGGACUGAGACACGGCCCAACAUCCUACGGGAGGCAGCAGUGGGGAAUAUUGGACAAUGGGGGGAACCCUGAUCCAGCCAUGCCGCGUGUGUGAAGAAGGCCUUAUGGUUGUAAAGCACUUUAAGCGAGGAGGAGGCUCUUUUGGUUAAUACCCAAGAUGAGUGGACGUUACUCGCAGAAUAAGCACCGGCUAACUCUGUGCCAGCAGCCGCCGUAA